AUGUCAAAUUACCUCUUCAGCUCUUGUUUUAUUAUUAGAGGUUGUUUUCUUGAGACAUUGGGCUGAUCAUGAGAUCAUAUUUUAAUGGAGAAAUGAAUAUAUGCUUACUUAUUAUUAAAUUAAUCACAUAUAUCUCAAAAAACAUUUGUAAUUUGAUCAAUGCCAUAUAAUAGCUCAUAUAUCAUGAAUCACUAACUUUGAUUGCUUGUUUGCAGUGCUCAAAGGGCAGUGCACAAAUAAACUAAUUUGGUAGUAUCAGCAAAGUAUGGAGAUGUAUUUUACUUUUCUAAUUCCAGUUGUGUGUGCCAUUUUGUUUUUCAUUUUAAAUGUUUCAAAACUAUUGUCAAGUGAAGUGAUUGUUAUAGUUCUGACUAUUUCAGAGGUGUGUAUUCAGACGAUUUCAUGUUGAAAGACAAUGUUCAUCCAAUUCAAAAGGAAGUAAAUACUCUUUAGUUCUUUACUGAAAGUUUUUUAGCACAAAGGUUACACUAUAGUGUCCUUUCAUACAUCCACAAAUACAUGAAGGCCUCUUACAGAAAGUUAAGUAAACCUUUGCCCUAUGACUGCUGAACAUUAUGAAUCAUAUUGAUGCAGAAUUGAAACCCGAGUCACCUGCUGUUUUUGUUACAGCACUUUGAGUGUGUUACCACCACAUACUAUAUGUCUUAAAGCUGUUGUAUUGGCGCUUUUAUGACACACAAUGUAUCAUUUUUUAGCCCGUUUCAUGCCAUGCUGAUCAUCAGAUUGUGUGAAAUGUGUUUUAAGUUUCCACACAAGAGGGAUAUUCUAGGACCAAAUAUCCUAUCAUAAGCCUACUAUGGAUGAAGGUUAUAAUGUUCAGUUUUUGUGAAAUUUGUUUUGAUAUAAUUGUUCAUUGAUAUAAAUAGGGAGGACAAAAUAUUAGAAACAAUAAUAAUAAUAAUAAUAAUGCAAUACAAUACAAUUCAACACCAUACAGCUGAACAUUACAGUGUAACUUUCAUGCUGGUAUUAUUUAUUGCAGGGUUGUUGUUGAUUAGACUGGAUUAGUUUUAGCUAGGUGUACCUAAUAAUAUAACAACUGAGUGUAGUUUGUGAGAUUUGAGCUCAUGUUCAAUGUAAAACUUUAUAUGGAAGAAUUACUUUUUUAAUCUGGUGUCAAUUUAUGAAGCAUCUUCCAUAACAACCACACAUCUGCUUACAGAAGGCUACAUAAAACAACCCGGUAUAGGCCUACCUGCCAUCCAGAGUUUCUCCCGUAUUUUAAGACCACCUCGCGGCGCCCUCCCGUUUUGUUGUUUCUCCCGGCAAACUCCCGCAAUUUGCAUGGUCUUCAUUAUGAAUAAUCGUCAUACACGGAUUCAAGUUUUGGAUGUUUGUCUGACGUCUGCAUUCCAUUUAGGUGUGCAAGUUCCUGAGCCCUGAUAUAGUUCAUGCUGUCUAACUGGUAUGGUUUACCUGAAUGGAACACAUUAAUGUCAUCAUUAAUAUUAUUUAUUAGUCUUUUCCUGCUAUAACAGUCAAAAUGUCUCCCAUAAACAAGGCCUAUUACAGCAACUAUACUGUACAUUAGAAGUACAGUGGUGAAAUGAAACUAAGUGCAUCUUCUCAAGUACUGUACUUAAGUACAAAUGUGAGGUAUCUGUACUUUACUAGUAUUUCCAUUUCAUGACACAAGUCAAUUUUCAUGCAAAAAUGCCAAAACAUUUCAUGGUUUCAGCUUCUCAAAUGUGAAGAUUUGUUGUUUUCCUUGUCUUAAAAUACAGUAAACAGAAUAAUUUUGGUUAGAAGCAACAAACAUAUACACAAGAUCUCUCCCUAGGUCAUAGUUUAAGCCUAAUUUCAGAAUAAUAUUAUGUGUAUGACUUAAAAACCAAUUUUGACAUUUGUCCAGUAUUCUUCAUAGCUUAAUCUAAUUUGACUGGAAGUACAUGGCUUUAUAAUAUAUUACUUUCUAUCAUACUGUUCAAAGGUAGGCUUCUAGUAUGCUUGGCUUAAUAAAUAACUGUGUCUGAGACACUGCCCCAUAGUGUUAGAUUUACUAUAUGGAAAAAGUACAGUAAGCCAAUGCCCUCCAACUCAGUGGAUUUAAUGUUACAGUCCUUUGUGCCAUAUCUUAGGCAUUUAUAGACAAGCCCAAGUCAGAUUCAGUGACACCUGAAAUUUGUAAAAACAUUGAUGUCUCAACACUGGCGUCUUAACAUUACUGGCUAACCUUUCACCUCCUAAGAGAAGUCUGUGAAAGCUGUUUGAUCAGGAUUACAACAGAGGUGAACUCAAGAUAAGUUAAUCAGGCAGAAGAAGACAGUCUGACGUUGCAUAAGAGUCACAACAGCACUGAGCACAGCGACUACAGUAGGUAGAAAAUAUCUCAUUGGGCCUGGAGCAAAUGGACAUAAUUAAAAGUUAUAUAAUGCACAGAAAAUGUGGGACACUUAAAAGAGCGAUUAGAAAUUUGUGUUGAACUCUCCUUUUGUGGGGUUGUUGUGAUGUACUACAAGCAUUUUCAACAUUAAAUUAGUCAGCGAGAGGUGUUCACAAAAUAUAAAUUAUCCAUAUAUCAUACAGAUAUCUAGUAAAACUAUACAUCUUUUUCUUGAAUAAUAAUUUAUCCACUUUCAAUUACAGUUAAUGAUCUAGUUUUGUUAAUAGCACAACAAUACAAUAUUUGAGUCAAUCUGGUUGGGACAAAAAAAAAACAACGGCUCCUCUAAGAGAAAUGUUAAUUGCGUUUUACUCUUUCUGUCAUAUCAAAACAUGAUCCACAAAUAUGGAUCAGUAAAAAACUCAAAUAAAUUUUUGCCGCCCCAGUUUACAGAUCAAUAUGGUUCAAUGCAUUCCUGUGGUCUCACUGUAUGGCUACAGUGGUCCUCAAAACCAAUGUGGAUGUAAUGCUUCUGACUAAUAAAUCUGGACCAGGUGCAGGAAGGAUGAAUAGGGGAAAAACGAUGGACAUUUAUGGAAUAACGAGGUCCAAGCCGUCUGGUGAGAAAGCCUACCCUAUCCCUGGCCAUUUCACAUCGCGGGCAGCCGAGUAACCUUGUUUCCCCACCGCAGCUGAGACAAUGUCUACCUCGUCCCAGAUGUUGACUCUGCUACUGGGGAACGGAGUCAAAGUAUAGACCCUUCAUCUUCUGCUACUCCACCACUGCCUGCAGCAGGUACACAAAUGAUACCACCAGCCCCAUGUUCGCUCACUACAGUAGCUCCUGAUGGAGAAACAUCCACUUCUACAUCCUGAAUAGAUUUCACCUAGGGCUCCAAAAAAUGCUAGGGCCAGCCCUGCCAUCGACAGUCAUUAAUUUGGUACAAAGAUAUAAUCUUAGCAUUUUAACCUUGCUUUGACUGUAAAGUUCACCCACAGUGCUUGAAUUGUCUAUUUGAAUGUAAGAUGAUUGGAUUCCAGUAGAAUAAUGUGAAAGCUUUUUUUUGACAGUCCAUUGGGGAAAAACAAUGGCUAGCAAAACAAUUCUGCAAUGACUUUAACAUCCUCCAUAGUUUAGUUUACGUCAAGUGUCUUGUCCCUCCACCUUUUAUUGCCUUGACUUGUUUGUAGUGCUGUUCUUUCAUGUCAAUGUCCAUCCAUCCAAUUUCAACACGUCUUUCUGUCUUCUGUUCACAUUUGUUCCCAAGCCAAGAGUGUGAUUUUUUGCAGGUAUCUUAUCAUCUGUUGAUGUUAAUCUCCGUCGCAGUCGUGAAAUUAUAUGCUCUUUUCUUGAACUACUGGACACACUGGGUCACCUGCAGAAGGCCACUGUGGCUAUUCUGUCCCCAGAUUUUGGAAUGUAUUAAUGUCACUGAAUGACAUUAAUGGGAUCACAGAUGUAUCAAUCUACAAAAAGAAAACAAAUGGA